CAGUAGCCGCGGUAAUACGAAGGGGGCUAGCGUUGUUCGGAAUUACUGGGCGUAAAGGGCGCGUAGGCGGCCAUUCAAGUUAGAUGUGAAAGCCCUGGGCUCAACCUAGGAAUUGCAUUUGAUACUGUUUGGCUUGAGUUCGGGAGAGGUGAGUGGAAUUCCCAGUGUAGAGGUGAAAUUCGUAGAUAUUGGGAAGAACACCAGUGGCGAAGGCGGCUCACUGGACCGACACUGACGCUGAGGCGCGAAAGCGUGGGGAGCAAACAGGAUUAGAGACCCCUGUAGUCCCUGUCUCUUAUAC
rnacentral:rRNA from 1 species